AAGCAAAUGAAGGAAAGUUCAACUCAUACUCAAAAGCCAUUGAACAAGCCAGAAAUUGAAGCAAAAGUUCCCCAAGGAUCAUCCUUAGUUUCAUGUUGUUAGAAGAAUGUUUGUAAAUAGUA